GCCGCGGUAAUUCCAGCUCCAAUAGCGUAUAUUAAAGUUGUUGCAGUUAGAACGCUCGUAGUCGGAUUUCGGGGCAGUCCGACCGGUCUGCCGAUGGGUAUGCACUGGCCGGAGUGUCCUUUUUGCCGGAGACCGUGCCUACUCUUAACUGAGCGGGGGCGGGAGACGGCACUUUUACUUUGAAAAAAUCAGAGCGUUUCAAGCAGGCAGCUCGCUCUUGCAUGGAUUAGCAUGGGAUAAUGAAAUAGGACUUUGGUGCUAUUUUGUUGGUUUCGAACACCGAAGUAAUGAUGAGAAGGGACAGUCAGGGGCACUCGUAUUCCGCAGAGAGAGGUGAAAUUCUCAGACCCGCGGAAGACGAACCACUGCGAAAGCAUUUGCCAGGGAUGUUUUCACUGAUCAAGAACGAAAGUUAGGGGAUCGAAGAUGAUCAGAUACCGUCGUAGUCUUAACCAUAAACCAUGCCGACUAGGGAUUGGAGGAUGUUCACUGAUUGACUCCUUCAGCACCUUACGGGAAACUAAAGUCUUUGGGUUCCGGGGGGAGUAUGGUCGCAAGGCUGAAACUUAAAGGAAUUGACGGAAGGGCACCACCAGGUGUGGAGCCUGCGGCUUAAUUUGACUCAACACGGGGAAACUUACCAGGUCCAGACAUUGUGAGGAUUGACAGAUUGAGAGCUCUUUCUUGAUUCGAUGGGUGGUGGUGCAUGGCCGUUCUUAGUUGGUGGAGUGAUUUGUCUGGUUAAUUCCGUUAACGAACGAGACCUUAGCCUGCUAAAUAGUGACGCGAACUCUUUGUUGGCGGGCCACUUCUUAGAGGGACAACUUGUCUUCAACAAGUGGAAGUUUGAGGCAAUAACAGGUCUGUGAUGC
rnacentral:rRNA from 1 species